UUUCGGCUGUCCAAAAGUCGGAGUUACUGAAGAGGCACACCAUCAUUGCCGGCAGUGCGGAACGGGAUCCUCCCAUUUCCAAGCCAAGGCAGACAAAGCGAAUUUUUGACCGGGCAAGGUCAAGGAUUCACCGCCGCGAGACGGCGUUUCCUGGUU
rfam:Mesorhizobium sp. Root157 contig_3, whole genome shotgun sequence.